UAUUUAAUACAAACUUCCAUAUAUUUAAUCACGAAUGUAAGUGAACAAAAGAUUCGCAACGAAUGACAGAGCUACGGUAGACGCCUUUUCCUAUUUUUCGCAAGAAACAUUUGUCAAACAACAAUGAACCGAAGCCAUUAGUCUGCGGUCAUACUGGGAAACUGCAUUCAAGAACUUUCGUCAAACGAAUUGACAUUAAUACUCAUGUUUCUAAACUCGGUGAGCCAAGUUUAACCAGGCAUAGAAGAUAAGUUACGAAAGUGACAAUCCUGUCUUUUCUAUCUACCCCGACAUACAUUUUCAAAGUUGGGGAUAUUUCAUUUUAUUAAUCCCCACUGUAUUAAGAGUCAGCGUCCCUAUCUAACAGAGCAAGUGAAAUGAUACUGAUUCCCUGGCAUUGAAAUUUAAUAACUGUUGUAGAAUUACUUUCAUAUCCUUUAAAUAUCUGCUUACCUAUUUUGCGUACCCGUACGUACGUACAUACAUACAUACAUAGAUACAUACAUAUAUACAUACAUACAUAUAUGCAUAUAUGCAUACAUAUCUUUUAGUUCUUGUCUUUAGAGGUUCGAUAAUCGAACGAAAGCGCUAAAAGGAAU
rnacentral:lncRNA from 1 species